GAUGAGCGCUGGCGGCGUGCCUAAUACAUGCAAGUCGAGCGAACAGACGAGGAGCUUGCUCCUCUGACGUUAGCGGCGGACGGGUGAGUAACACGUGGAUAACCUACCUAUAAGACUGGGAUAACUUCGGGAAACCGGAGCUAAUACCGGAUAAUAUAUUGAACCGCAUGGUUCAAUAGUGAAAGACGGUUUUGCUGUCACUUAUAGAUGGAUCCGCGCCGCAUUAGCUAGUUGGUAAGGUAACGGCUUACCGAGGCAACGAUGCGUAGCCGACCUGAGAGGGUGAUCGGCCACACUGGAACUGAGACACGGUCCAGACUCCUACGGGAGGCAGCAGUAGGGAAUCUUCCGCAAUGGGCGAAAGCCUGACGGAGCAACGCCGCGUGAGUGAUGAAGGUCUUCGGAUCGUAAAACUCUGUUAUUAGGGAAGAACAAAUGUGUAAGUAACUAUGCACGUCUUGACGGUACCUAAUCAGAAAGCCACGGCUAACUACGUG
rnacentral:rRNA from 1 species